CACGUAGGGGGCGAGCGUUGUUCGGAAUUACUGGGCGUAAAGGGCAUGUAGGCGGUCUUGUAAGCUUGGCGUGAAAUACCACGGCUCAACCGUGGGAAUGCGUUGAGAACUGCGAGGCUUGAGUGACGGAGAGGGAGCUAGAAUUCCUGGUGUAGGGGUGGAAUCUGUAGAGAUCAGGAAGAAUACCAAUGGCGAAGGCAAGCUCCUGGCCGAUGACUGACGCUGAGGUGCGAAAGUGUGGGGAUCAAACAGGAUUAGAUACCCUGGUAGUCCACACGGUAAACGAUGUACACUAGGUGCUGGUGCGGAUGCAUCAGUGCCGUAGCUAACGUGAUAAGUGUACCGCCUGGGGAGUAUGCUCGCAAGGGUGAA
rnacentral:rRNA from 1 species